rnacentral:rRNA from 1 species
UACGUAGGGACCAAGCGUUGUUCGGAUUUACUGGGCGUAAAGGGCGCGUAGGCGGCUUAACAAGUCACUUGUGAAAUCUCCGGGCUUAACUCGGAACGGCCAAGUGAAACUGUUAUGCUAGAGUGCAGAAGGGGCAAUCGGAAUUCUUGGUGUAGCGGUGAAAUGCGUAGAUAUCAAGAGGAACACCUGAGGUGAAGACGGGUUGCUGGGCUGACACUGACGCUGAUGCGCGAAAGCGUGGGGAGCAAACAGG